rnacentral:rRNA from 1 species
AGAGUUUGAUCCUGGCUCAGGACGAACGCUGGCGGCGCGCCUUACGCAUGCAAGUCGAACGCCCUGCUUGCAGGGAGUGGCAGACGGCUGAGUAACGCGUGGGUAACCUGUCCGGUGGCGGGGGACAACUUGCCGAAAGGCGAGCUAAUACCGCAUAAGUUCCCGUGGUGGAAGACCGCGGGAGGAAAGUCGCAAGACACCGCCGGAGGGGCCCGCGUCUUAUCAGGUAGUUGGUGGGGUAAUGGCUCACCAAGCCGAAGACGGGUAGCUGGUCUGAGAGGACGACCAGCCAGAAGGGGACUGAAACACGGCCCCUACACCUACGGGUGGCUGC